rnacentral:rRNA from 1 species
ACUAAAGAAGAAGAGGCUGGCAAACAAGCUUUUCUCGCUCUCUUUGGGUUGAUAGAAGUCCCAACAAUCAAAUUCUUCGGCAAUAAGCUGAUGAAUUUUUGUAUGUCUGACGACCAGAUCAUUAGUUGUUUACUGAUUGUGGCAUUAGCAACAUUUCUCUACCCGACAUCAAACGCUAAACUAAGCACCAAAUAUAUGGGAGCUCUAGUUAAUGUGGAGCAGCUCAAGCAACUAAAUUGGUGCAGGUUUGUUCAUGAUUGGGAGUUGGUGUAUAUAAAAAAAUACCAAAAGGAAAAGCUG